CGAGGAUUCCCCUAGUAACGGCGAGUGAACGGGGAAAUGCCCAGCGCUGAAACCUUCGGCCAUUGGUCGUUAGGUGCUGUAGCGUAUAGGUGUGACUAUCCGUGUGCUUCGCGCACCCAAAGUCCCCUUGAGCGGGGCUACAGUCCAUAGAAGGUGCUAGACCUGUACGGGUGGUGAGGCGCACGGUAGGUUGCUCCUUGGAGUCGGGUUGCCUGAGAUCGCAGCCCAAAGAAGGUGGUAAACCUCAUCUAAGGCUAAAUACGGCCACGAGACCGAUAGCAAACAAGUACCGUGAGGGAAAGUUGCAAAGAACUUUGAAGAGAGAGUUCAAGAGGGCGUGAAACCGCUAAGAUUGAAACGGAUAGAGUUGACGAAACUCGGCGGCAUUCAGCCGGUCCGCGCGGCGGCCUUGCGGCUAUGCGCCUCGAUGAGGGCAGUGACGCGAGUAGCUGUAGCGUGUUGAUAGGUGUAUUUGCCGUCGGUAUGCGCUGAGAGCUUCGCAACCGUACGUUGAUGAGUGCGUAGUGGACCAUUCCUUCCGGGCGUGGAACCCUCCGCGCUUUUAGGCGUAUUGGUGGUGGAGAGUUGAAAGUGUCGUCUCCGCUAUGAUGCGUCGCUUGCGGUAUGGCUUUUGUGGCUAUUGGGCGGUCGCAUGCGACAGCCUAUAGUUUAUGAUCGCUUAUCGUAAUGCUUGAUGCGUCGAGAUGGCAUCUCGGUGUGAACGUUGACCACCUAUCCGA
rnacentral:rRNA from 1 species